rnacentral:rRNA from 1 species
UGGGGAAUAUUGCACAAUGGGCGCAAGCCUGAUGCAGCCAUGCCGCGUGUGUGAAGAAGGCCUUCGGGUUGUAAAGCACUUUCAGCGGGGAGGAAGGCGAUAAGGUUAAUAACCUUGUCGAUUGACGUUACCCGCAGAAGAAGCACCGGCUAACUCCGUUCCAGCAGCCGCGGUAAUACGAAGGGUGCAAGCGUUAAUCGGAAUUACUGGGCGUAAAGCGCACGCAGGCGGUCUGUCAAGUCGGAUGUGAAAUCACCGGGCUUAACCUGGGAACUGCAUUGGAAACUGGCAGGAUAGAGUCUUGUAGAGGGGGGUAGAAUUCAAGGUGUAGGGGUGAAAUGCGUAGAGAUCUGGAGGAAUACCGGUGGAAAAGGCGGACCACUGAACAAAGACUGACGCUAAGGUGCGAAAGCGUGGGGAGCAAACAGG